rnacentral:rRNA from 1 species
UGCAGUCGACGCACAGCGAAAGGUGCUUGCACCUUUCAAGUGAGUGGCGAACGGGUGAGUAACACGUGGACAACCUGCCUCAAGGCUGGGGAUAACAUUUGGAAACAGAUGCUAAUACCGAAUAAAACUUAGUAUCGCAUGAUACCAGGUUAAAAGGCGCUACGGCGUCACCUAGAGAUGGAUCCGCGGUGCAUUAGUUAGUUGGUGGGGUAAAGGCCUACCAAGACAAUGAUGCAUAGCCGAGUUGAGAGACUGAUCGGCCACAUUGGGACUGAGACACGGCCCAAACUCCUACGGGAGGCUGCAGUAGGGAAUCUUCCACAAUGGGCGAAAGCCUGAUGGAGCAACGCCGCGUGUGUGAUGAAGGCUUUCGGGUCGUAAAGCACUGUUGUAUGGGAAGAAAAGUUAAGGUAGGGAAUGACCUUAGCCUGACGGUACCAUACCAGAAAGGGACGGCUAAAUACGUGCCAGCAGCCGCGGUAAUACGUAUGUCCCGAGCGUUAUCCGGAUUUAUUGGGCGUAAAGCGAGCGCAGACGGUUGGUUAAGUCUGAUGUGAAAGCCCGGAGCUCAACUCCGGAAAGGCAUUGGAAACUGGUUAACUUGAGUGCAGUAGAGGUAAGUGGAACUCCAUGUGUAGCGGUGGAAUGCGUAGAUAUAUGGAAGAACACCAGCGGCGAAGGCGGCUUACUGGACUGUAACUGACGUUGAGGCUCGAAAGUGUGGGUAGCAAACAGGAUUAGAUACCCUGGUAGUCCACACCGUAAACGAUGAACACUAGGUGUUAGGAGGUUUCCGCCUCUUAGUGCCGAAGCUAACGCAUUAAGUGUUCCGCCUGGGGAGUACGACCGCAAGGUUGAAACUCAAAGGAA